AACUUUCGGCAAUGGAUCACUUGGCUCUCGCAUCGAUGAAGCACGCAGCGAAAUGCGAUAAGUAAUGUGAAUUGCAGGUUUCCAGUGAAUCAUCGAAUCUUUGAACGCACCUUGCGCUCCUUGGUAUUCCGAGGAGCAUGCCUGUUUGAGUGGCAUUAAAUCCUCAACCCCGAUCGCUUUGUUUCGACCUCGGGGCUUGGACUUGGAGUGUGCUGGCGUGAGUCGGCUCCUCAAAUGGAUCGGCGGAAUUCAAUCCUUGGCUUGCGGACGUCAGUGUGAUAAUCACGUUGCGCUGUCGGUUUGAGCCGUAAGGGUCCGCUUACAAUGGUCUUCGGACAACUUCAUUUAAAUUUGACCUCAAAUCAGGUAGGACUACCCGCUGAACUUAAGCAUAUCAAUAAGCGGAGGCU
rnacentral:misc_RNA from 1 species